rnacentral:misc_RNA from 1 species
GGACUACAGGGGUUUCUAAUCCUGUUCGAUACCCACGCCUUCGUGCUUCAGCGUCAGUUGAGCGCCGGUAUGCUGCCUUCGCAAUCGGAGUUCUGCGUGAUAUCUAUGCAUUUCACCGCUACACCACGCAUUCCGCAUACUUCUCGCUCACUCAAGAACGGCAGUUUCAACGGCUCGACGGAGUUGAGCUCCGCAUUUUUACCGCUGACUUACCGUCCCGCCUACGCACCCUUUAAACCCAAUAAAUCCGGAUAACGCUCGCAUCCUCCGUAUUACCGCGGCGGCUGGCAC